GAUGCUCCUAAAGCCAGCAGAGACCCCGUCAUGAUGGCUGCAGGCUGCACCAGAUCAGGCAGGUUUAAUGGGUCAGUCUGUUCACAGACGCCCUGCAGCAGCCUGCAGCAGCAGCACAACACCUGGUGCAACAAGCCUGCAGGUAAAGCAUGAAGCUCCCUGACCAACAGGGAGGAGCAUCAGUGCCAAGUUUCCACUAAGAUAGAAAAACGCCUCUGAGGUCGGCUGAGAUGGAUGAGGCCGAGGUCCAGAUGGACCUGCUCAUGUCCAGGCAGGCAGGCAGGCAGUUCACCAAGCAGACAUGAUGGCAGGAAAGACCUCAACACCAUUUGGUCACAUGACUGAACAAAGGCUGCUGGGAAAUGGUGUUCGAUAAGGAAAACAGAACUUCAUGGUAUAAAACCUGCAGAAUGUAUUUUUCCUGUUGAGAUGGUUUUUGUCAGAAAUUAAUAUUGUUUUUAUUGCUGCAGUUGUCUUUCCUCAGCAGGCAGUUCAAGCUUCAAAUGCUUCUCUCAGUGAUGAGUCUGACUUGAGGUAAAAUCUGCACUAAAGGGACCUUCCAGCCGCACCGUGACCCACUGAACGGACUGCAAGUCCAUCAAGAUGUUCCUGAAGAACCAGCAGCUCCUCACCGACAUGCUGACCAGAAGUUCACUUUUAAUCUGGAAACAAUUACAUGAAGAUCAAUUGUUGAACUUUAAUAAAUAACUGUUUAACUCUAAAUGGCUGUUUAACAUGAAUGUAUAUGAUUGAGAAAUUCAAGGAGCCUCAGUUACAGUCAGAAUGUCAGUAUUUACAAUAUGGAAGGUAAAAGGAAUGAUAAACUUUAUCAAACAGAUCAAGUCCCAAUCAUUACCUGUUCUGUGGGAUAUUAUUUCCAUUAAAACCUGUCCGAUAAAG